ensembl:lncRNA
CCACUUCUUCUUUCUCCUCCCCCCAAACCUUCCCAAAUACUCUCCAUGCUCUUUUCAAAUGUAUGGUCUCUGCCCUACUAACGUGUAUGUGUUAUAUGUGUAUAUGGAUAUGGAUAUUCCUAAAUACAAUGUUCCCCGUCUGUAUCAUGUUACUUGUACAUAUGUUUUCAGGGCUGACCAUUUGGUAUUGGAUAACUAAUUGUCGUGGUCUUUCCUGGGAAAGACUUUCUUCCACUCUUAGCACUCCUUAGUUGCCUGUAGUUCUUUGUGUAGCUAUAGAUCUAUGGGCUUUCCCCUGUCCUCUCAGGCAUGUCUAUUGGUGUUGUCUUUGCUCAGAUCAUGUUAGGCAGUCAUGUUGGUGAGGCUUUAUAGGUGUAGCUUCUAACCUUUCUAAGAGACACAGCAAACUCAUCUGAUCCUUGGGCUUUUACAAUCUUUCCACUCUUCUACAAUGUUUCCUAACUCUUAGGUGCCAUUGUAUUUUAGAUGUAUUCAUUGGGGCUGGGCUCUAAAACUCGCCCUUUCUUUUGGUUGCAGUUUUCCAUAAUGAGCUCUGUGGCAAAGAGAAGUUUACAAGAUGUGGAGUAAGAACUAAAUUUAUCUAUGGAUGUAAGAGCAGGUAUUUAGAGUGUAGUUAGAGAUUAUGAUAAUUUUUAGUAAAGUGCUGGUUAUAGGUUCUCUUUCAAGAUCCAUGACUUUAUUAAUCCUAGAUAGUUGUUCAUAUUUUCAUUUUUCCUAAUGCUGUAGGAUAGAAUUCACUCUAUUUGUUCUUUGUUAUUAGAUACAGUUUUUUUUCUUCUCAGAAACUAUUAGGUUAUAAAAAGUCUCUUGUGUUUUCAUUUGGAUGAAAGCUUUUAGGCUGAAGAAAUAGUGCCCUUCUCAGGUAUUGAUUAUUUCACUUUUAGAACAUGAGAUAUUUGUCUGUGGCAUAAUAAGACAAUAGUCUUUUAUAGUUUCAGUAUUAAAGGUAGUUUCAGGAAACCAUGUGGGAUCCUUCUAUUUUCAACAGGUGAUUAGACAUUUGCUACUACUUCUUUCUGACAGGCUUAGUAGAUUAUGGAGUUCAGUCUACCUUUUUACAGGUUAACUACAAACUCAUUGUUUUAAUAGAUAAAGGCUUCAUUUAGCUUACCUAUUUCUUUUUCUCAUAUAGAUAUGGAUGCAUAUGGGAUGGACCAGUCACCCAGAGGUGAGGCAGUCUCUGGAUGGACUUUCCUUCAGUCUCUGCUCCAUUCUUUGUCCCUGUAUUUCUUCCCGAUACAAAAAUAGCCGAGUGAAUAGAGAAUGCAGUUCAGUGUGUCCAGGAGAGGACUUCAUGGAACAACAUUCUCGGCAUAAUGAGGAAGAUAGAGAACCAGUGCUCCAUUGCAUUCCUGGAUUACAGCUGAGCUUUAGCCCAACUACUGUGGCAGUACUCCCAGAAAAUAGAACAACCAAACCUUCUUCCUGGCCAGAGUGUUUGGACGAUGUGUGAAUCCUGAAAUAUACACAUACAAACCUACUCUUCUGUGCAGCCCUAAACAGUGCUGACACGCAGGAGGAAAUCCAGUCCUUUCUGUUUAGCCAACUCUGUCCUUGUCUCCCAUCCAUAUUGCAGCUCUAGCCAACAUGGUUAACUGGCAGUUACACAAACGUAUAUUUUAUUCUUAUAUUUCUGGACCUUUCGUGAUGAUGUUCCCUAAUGCUACAACGCCCUUGUAAAGCAUGAACUCUUCCCAUUCUUCUGAUCACUUAGAGCUCAGCUCCCCUGACUCUUUUUCAGCAACUACCUCCAAUCCAAGAUACUUCAG